rnacentral:rRNA from 1 species
ACACGGCCCAGACUCCUACGGGAGGCAGCAGUGAGGAAUUUUCCGCAAUGGGCGAAAGCCUGACGGAGCAAUGCCGCGUGGAGGAAGAAAGCCUGUGGGUUGUAAACUCCUUUUCUUAGACAAGAAGAUAUGACGGUAUCUAAGGAAUAAGCAUCGGCUAACUCCGUGCCAGCAGCCGCGGUAAGACGGAGGAUGCAAGCGUUAUCCGGAAUUAUUGGGCGUAAAGCGUCUGUAGGUGGUUUACUCAGUC